rnacentral:rRNA from 1 species
CAGUCGCCACGGUAAUACGAAGGGGGCUAGCGUUGCUCGGAAUUACUGGGCGUAAAGGGAGCGUAGGCGGAUGAAUUAGUCAGGGGUGAAAUCCCGGGGCUCAACCUCGGAACUGCCUUUGAUACUGUUCAUCUUGAGUAUGGGAGAGGUGUGUGGAACUCCGAGUGUAGAGGUGAAAUUCGUAGAUAUUCGGAAGAACACCAGUGGCGAAGGCGACACACUGGCCCAUUACUGACGCUGAGGCUCGAAAGCGUGGGGAGCAAACUGGAUUAGAUACCCCUGUAGUCCCUGUCUCUUAUAC